AAGUCAGCAGCUACCAUCACUGCCAAAUUGCUUUUGGAGAUCGUGGAAUGACACUGUGGCUGAGCCUCUCUUCUUUGGUUUCUGUUGAGAUUGGUGUUCCCUCCAUCCAGUCAUGUAUAUGAUCUGAAAUGUUGCUGGAAUUGUGCCAUCUUCGGCUGCAAACAUUGACUCGUAAAUAGCUGCUGUGGCCAGGGCUGUAUCCUUUUUCAAUACCUUGCUCCUUUGCAGUAGAGCACUAGUUUCGCCCA
rnacentral:misc_RNA from 1 species